UUAAGUCCGGCAACGAGCGCAACCCACGUCCUUAGUUGCCAUCAUUCAGUUGGGCACUCUAGGGAAACUGCCGGUGAUAAGCCGGAGGAAGGUGUGGAUGACGUCAAGUCCUCAUGGCCCUUACGGGUUGGGCUACACACGUGCUACAAUGGUAGUGACAAUGGGUUAAUCCCAAAAAGCUAUCUCAGUUCGGAUUGGGGUCUGCAACUCGACCCCAUGAAGUCGGAAUCGCUAGUAAUCGCGUAACAGCAUGACGCGGUGAAUACGUUCCCGGGCCUUGUACACACCGCCCGUCACACCAUGGGAAUUGGGUCUACCCGAAGGUGGUGCGCCAACCAGCAAUGGAGGCAGCCAACCACGGUAGGUUCAGUGACUGGGGUGAAGUCGUAACAAGGUAACC
rnacentral:rRNA from 1 species